rnacentral:rRNA from 1 species
UAAACUAGGAUUAGAUACCCUAUUAUUGAAAAUGUAAAUAUAAAAUGUUAGAGUAUUAGUAGUUAUUUUCUUGAAAUUUAAAGGAUUUGGCGGUAUUCUAGUCUUUUCAGAGGAACCUGUCCUGUAAUUGAUAUUCCACGAUUAAUUUAACUUGUUUUAUUAGUUUGUAUAUCAUCGUAAGUUGAAUGUUUUAUUAGGAUUUUGAAUGUUCAAGAUAUAAUAUAAUAGAGAAAAUCAGAUCAAGGUGCAGCUUAUAAUCAAGUAGAGAUGGGUUACAAUAAAUUUAUUUGAUUGGUUAUAAUAAUUAACAUUAUUGUAUAAAUUGGAUUUGAAUGUAAUAUAAUUUAGUUAAAUUAUAUGAUUAUAGCUCUAGAAUAUGUACAUAUCGCCCGUCGCUCCCGUUUUAAGGCGGGAUAAGUCGUAACAAAGUAGGCGUACUGGAAAGUGUGCCUAGAUAGACGAAUUAGAGCUUGUUAUAAAGUAUUUUAUUUACAUUAAAAUGUUAGUUGUGUGAAUCAAUUUAAUUUGAUAAGUAUUAGUUUAUUUUUUUUUAUUAUAAUAAAGUAUUAUUUUUAUUUAGUAUGAUUUUUAGAAACAAUUUUUUUAAUUAUAGUUUACUUGUAUAGAGAUAGAUUAAUGAUAUAAUAUAUUCUUUUUUGAGAAGAAUAAUUAGAUUUUUGUACCUUGUGUAUCAGGGUUUAUUAAAAAUAUUUUAUAUAUUUGAUUUUCUCGAAUUUUUAAGAGCUAAUAAUAUAUAUAUAUAAUUGUAAAAUAAAUUUUUAUAAUAUAUUAUUAGAAGUGAAAUGCUAGUCGUUUGGAAAGAUAUCUAGUUUUUUAAGAAAUAAAUUUAAUUUAUUUAUUUAAAUAUAUUACUUUAAUUUAUUAGGGUUUUGUUUUGAGUAUUAAAUAUUUUAAGGGAUAAGCUUUAGAAUAUAGUAUUAAAAAUUAUUAUAGUAUUAAAAAUAAUAGGAUUAGAAAUUUUUAUUUUUUAGGCUGUUAUAAGGAAUUUUUUUUUUAAUAUUAUUUUUAUUAGUUUUAGGUUUUAUAUUAAAAUUAUUUAUUUAAUAUUAUUAUAUAUGUAAUUAUGAUAAAAUUAGUAUAGUAGAUUUUUGUAAUUUUAAUUUUAUUAUGAAGGUUAAGUUAAGGAAUUCGGCAAAUAUAUUUUUCGCCUGUUUAUUAAAAACAUGUCUUUUUGAUAUAAUUUAAAGUCUGACCUGCCCACUGAGGAGUUAAAUGGCCGCAGUAUUUUGACUGUGCAAAGGUAGCAUAAUAAUUAGUUUUUUAAUUGAAAGCUGGAAUGAAUGGUUGGACGAGAAAAUUACUGUCUUGGUUUAAUUUUAUUAGAAUUUUAUUUUUAAGUUAAAAAGCUUAAAUAUUUUUAAAAGACGAGAAGACCCUAUAGAGUUUUAUAUUUAUUUUUAUUAUUAUUAUUAAGUAUGGUUUUCUGGUAAUAAUUAUGAUUAUUUUGUUGGGGUGACAGAGAAAUUGAGUUAACUUUUUUUUAUUGAGUUCAUAUAUAAAUGUUUUUAUGAUCCAUAUUUUAUGAUUAAAAGAUUAAAUUACCUUAGGGAUAACAGCGUUAUUAUUUUUAAGAGUUCUUAUCGAAAAAAUAGUUUGCGACCUCGAUGUUGGAUUAAAGUUAAUUUUGGUGUAGGAGCUAAAAUGUUUAGGUCUGUUCGACCUUUAAAACUUUACAUGAUCUGAGUUCAAACCGGAGA